AUGGCAUGGGAACCAGGGUCUUGCCUUCUGCUGACUGUCCCAUGGCCCCAUGUCCGUGGCAGUCUCUGCCCUACAGGCCGUAGAGGUCAGCCCAGCAGGGAUGGAUGGUGGGGACGGCAUACAGACAGCAACUCCCCAGGCUUUGGUGCAGCCCAGAAGGGUAGGGAAGGCAAUGAGUUUAAUGGCAGAGCAGCCUGCAGCCCUUUCAGGGGGGCCAGCUCCCCUCCAGUGGGACCAGAGCCAGUCCAGCAGGGAGACAUUAAAAACCCCAACCCUGACAGGAAGCGCACACCUGCACACGCACCACACCGACACGCACACUCGGGGACUGACAUGACACAAGUGACAAAGACCCUCCCUGCCUCUGGCCAGAGUCCUUCAUCCGAGUCCCUUCCCAAGUCACUGGUCCAGGCCAAGCGGUG
rnacentral:lncRNA from 1 species